GUUGAACGCUGGCGGCAUGCUUUACACAUGCAAGUCGAACGAUAACAGGCCGCAAGGUGCUCUCGAGCGGUGAACGGGUGCGUAAUGCUUCGGCAUGUGCCACGUCCCUAUAGGUAACUACUCGCUUGAGUAGCCAAUACCUCAUACGAUCUAUUGUUUACAACGGCAGACCGCAAUGCUUCAAGAGAUUUGUGCUGCCGCUGUCAGAUUAGGUAGUUGGUCAGGUAAAGGCUCACCAAGUCAACGCUCUGUAGCUGGUCUGAGAGGACGACCAGCCACACUGGGACUGAGACACGGCCCAGACUCCUACGGGAGGCAGCAGUGGGGAAUUUUGGACAAUGGGCGCAAGCCUGAUCCAGCAAUGCCGCGUGCAGGAAGAAGGCCUUCGGGUUGUAAACUUCUGUUGUACGGGACGAAACAGCUCGUGUGAAAACCCGGAGGUAUUGACGGUACCGUAAGAAAAAGCACCGGCUAACUACGUG
rnacentral:rRNA from 1 species